CUGACUGCGCUUGGGUUGAAAUCGGUUUGGAUUGCCCGGCCCUUUUGCGAACCGCGACGUUGCGCAAAGGGGAGCGCGUGACAGUUAA
rnacentral:ncRNA from 1 species